rnacentral:rRNA from 1 species
AGGACGAACGCUGGCGGCGUGCCUAAUACAUGCAAGUCGAACGGUCUUUCUAUGGAAGCUUGCUUCCGCUGAGAAGAUAGUGGCGAACGGGUGAGUAACACGUGGGUAACCUGCCCAUAAGAGGGGGGAUAACAUCCGGAAACGGGUGCUAAUACCGCAUAGUUUUCUUGAUCGCAUGAUCGGGAAAGAAAAGACGGCCUUUGUGCUGUCGCUUAUGGAUGGACCCGCGGCGUAUUAGUUAGUUGGUGAGGUAACGGCUCACCAAGACGAUGAUACGUAGCCGACCUGAGAGGGUGAUCGGCCACAUUGGGACUGAGACACGGCCCAAACUCCUACGGGAGGCAGCAGUAGGGAAUCUUCCGCAAUGGACGAAAGUCUGACGGAGCAACGCCGCGUGAGUGAAAGAAGGUUUUCGGAUCGUAAAACUCUGUUGUCAGAGAAGAACAAGUUGGAGAGUAACUGCUCCAGCCUUGACGGUAUCUGACCAGAAAGCCACGGCUAACACGUGCCAGCCGCCGC